UACGUAGGGUGCGAGCGUUAAUCGGAAUUACUGGGCGUAAAGCGUGCGCAGGCGGUUUUGUAAGACAGGCGUGAAAUCCCCGGGCUCAACCUGGGAAUUGCGCUUGUGACUGCAAGGCUAGAGUACGUCAGAGGGGGGUAGAAUUCCACGUGUAGCAGUGAAAUGCGUAGAUAUCUGGAGGAACACCGGUGGCGAAGGCGACAUCCUGGACCGGCAUUGACGCUGAGGCGCGAAGGCGUGGGGAGCGAACGGG
rnacentral:rRNA from 1 species